rnacentral:rRNA from 1 species
UACGUAGGGCGCAAGCGUUGUCCGGAAUUAUUGGGCGUAAAGAGCUCGUAGGCGGCCUGUUGCGUCCGCUGUGAAAUCCCGGGGCUUAACCCCGGGCCUGCAGUCGAUACGGGCAAACUAGAGUGUGGUAGGGGAGACUGGAAUUCCUGGUGUAGCGGUGAAAUGCGCAGAUAUCAGGAGGAACACCGGCGGCGAAGGCGGGUCUCUGGGCCGAUACUGACGCUGAGGAGCGAAAGCGUGGGGAGCGAACAGG